CCUACGGGUGGCAGCAGUGAGGAAUAUUGGUCAAUGGGCGUAAGGCUGAACCAGCCAAGUCGCGUGAAGGAAGAAGGAUCUAUGGUUUGUAAACUUCUUUUAUAGGGGAAUAAAGGUAUCCACGUGUGGAUAUUUGCAUGUACCCUAUGAAUAAGCAUCGGCUAACUCCGUGCCAGCAGCCGCGGUAAUACGGAGGAUGCGGUCGUUAUCCUGAUUUAUUGGGUUUAAAGGGUGGGUAGGUUGUUUUUUAAGUCAGCGGGUAAAGUUUGUGGCUCAAACAUAAAAUUGCGGUUGAAACUGGUAGACUUGAGUGUGUUUGAGGUAGGCGGAAUGCGUGGUGUAGCGGUGAAAUGCAUAGAUAGCACGCAGAACUCCGAUUGCGAAGGCAGCUUACUAGGCCAUAACUGACACUGAGGCACGAAAGCGUGGGGAUCAAACAGGAUUAGAUACCCGAGUAGUC
rnacentral:rRNA from 1 species